AGCCGGUAUGGUGUAGUGGUUUGAAUGCUGAUCUAUGACUCCAGAGACCAGGGUUUGAUUCCCAGCUCGGCUG